CAGGGAGUUAGGUCUGGACUUACUUAGGACCUAAACCAAUAAAUCAGGGAGUUAGGUCUGUAUUUACUUAGGACCUAAACCAAUAAAUCAGGAAGUUAGGUCUGUAUUUACUUAGGACCUAAACCAAUAAAUCAGGAAGUUAGGUCUGUAUUUACUUAGGACCUAAACCAAUAAAUCAGGGAGUUAGGUCUGUAUUUACUUAGGACCUAAACCAAUAAAUCAGGGAGUUAGGUCUAGACUCUACAAUUCAGAUGCUCAAAGCGACAGGUAGUAUAGAAGGUUUAGAGAACUAUCAGAAAGUGAGGACACAAGGUUAACACCUGGAAGAGACAGGUAGUAUAGAAGGUUUAGAGAACUAUCAGAAAGUGAGGACACAAGGUUAACACCUGGAAGAGACAGGUAGUAUAGAAGGUUUAGAGAACUAUCAGAAAGUGAGGACACAAGGUUAACACCUGGAAGAGAGAGGUAGUAUAGAAGGUUUA